GAACCCUUUUGAAGCAAUCGCCCAUUUCUUCUAAGCAAUGGCUGAGUCGAGAGACAGACUCGUGAGAAAUGUUGAUUUAGCGGAAGUAUUCGCUCGAAGACGGAUUGGGCAUUUGGGAAUCCUCUCGCAAGAACGAUGGAACUUUUAUGCGGCUCCGCUGUUACUCGUAGGCCAGUGGGUGUUGCUGGUGCUACUCUUUCGACGGCGCGUGGUGGACGGUUCCGCCGGGGUAGCAGUUUCCGGACUCCAAGAAUUAUAAGACGUGGCCGGACUACGAGAGAGA